GAGUAGCUUCCUGAUCGCAGGAAUUUAUCUUUCCUGGCUCAGCGUGACCUUGAGAUAGUCAAAACAAUAUUUGCCUCAGAAGUGAACCUUCUAGAAUCUUCCAGCACUUUCCAGUUUCUGCCUUCAAAGACUUUAGUCAUGACAGGAGGUGUGGCGGGAAGAUUCAAGGACAAUCAAAGAAAUAUUUAAACAUUUCAUUUGUGUCAAUGAGAGUUUGUUUGCCUCCAAUGAGACUUAAUAUAAAUGAGAUUACCCAGCAGAAGCAAGCUCAUACCUCUCGUUGAGUUUGUAUACAUAAAGCCAGGGCUUUUUUCGGCCAGAAUUCACCAGAACUCAUCGCCUCUCAGGUGGACGCCAUCGUCUUAUUAUAAGAGAACAAGGGAGGGGUUCAUGAUGUUAGUUUUCCUUCAGAUGCUGAUGUUAAUGGAUCUGGAUUAAUUUAAGCAAAGAAUGACCUGCAGAGUGAGGCAACUGCCCCAGCUGGCAAAUGCUUGGGAGGCAGCAGGCAGUGGAGGAAGCACCACCAGCCAGUGCCAGUCUUUGGACUCAGAUUUCAGCAGCUCCCUGUGUAAUGCUAAAAUUUGGUGCCCCCCCACCUCUUGAGCUACAACAUUGUUGUGGUGCCCCUGUGGCAGAACCAGUCACACUACCCUAAAACCGCCUCCGCCUCAGCUGUUUUUCCUGAGCCCCCUGACCAGAACCUUUUGUUGGAGAACAGAAAGUACCGGUAUGUGGCAUGUGGCAUGCCCUGUACCCCCAUAACUGCCUUCAAGUGCAGCAGAGGACUCUAUCCCAUUGCCUGUAUUGAAGUAAGUCAACUGUCAUUCAGCCUUUGUACACUGAAUUGGGGGUGGUGGCUGCCAUCUUGUCCUUUGCUUCAGGCAGCAAAUAGUCUUGAGAGGACCCUGCCAGGACCUAGCUCCAAAACUAGUUUUCAGGGCAAAUAUUCAAUGCAACAAUACAUUUUUAAAUCCCUAUAAUUGAGAAGGUAGUGUUCAAGCACGUGAAAAGCAUCUUCCUGCCCUCAAAACUGAACCAUACCUAUCCUCCACAUGGUCAGAAUUGGAAGGGGGGGGGGUACCAUAGAUCAGAGCCAAAAUCCCACCUCAACACCUCUUAUUUUACAAAUGGAGCCCAAUCUGCCUUGUCCACCUCUUUCUCUCUCCUGUUUCUUUUGAGGAAUCUCUUGAAGGUUGAGUGAACUACUUUGCUUCAUAUUACCAGGAGUCUGAGGUGGGGGGUGGUCUAGAAUAGUAAGCAGGUGGUUGUUGAAAUUAUUCUUUUCAUCCGUUGUGGUUCAGUGUGCAGCAACCCCCUGGAGCAUGCGAGUUUAUCACAGGAGCCAGGGCUGCAUAUUCCAAUACGGUUGUGCAGGGUUUCAAAGCCAUCUAUCCACAAAUUAAAAGACGUCUGCUUCUUGGGAGAAAAGCAAUGACAAACCUAGACAGCAUCUUAAAAAGCAGAGACAUCACCUUGACAACAAAGGUCCAUAUAGUUAAAGCUAUGGUUUUCCCAGUAGUGAUGUAUGGAAGUGAGAGCUGGACCAUCAAGAAGGCUGAUCGCCAAAGAAUUGAUGCUUUUGAAUUAUGCUGCUGGAGGAGACUCUUGAGAGUCCCAUGGACUGCAAGAAGAUCAAACCUAUCCAUUCUUAAGGAAAUCAGCCCUGAGUGCUCACUGGAAGGACAGAUCGUGAAGCUGAGGCUCCAAUACUUUGGCCACCUCAUGAGAAGAGAAGACUCCCUGGAAAAGACCCUGAUGUUGGGAAAGAUGGAGGGCACAAGGAGAAGGGGACGACAGAGGACGAGAUGGUUGGAUAGUGUCUUCGAAGCUACCAGCAUGAGUGUGACCAAACUGCGGGAGGCAGUGGAAGACAGAAGUGCCUGUCGUGCUCUGGUCCAUGGGGUCACGAAGAGUUGGACACGACUAAGCAACAACAAAUCCACACCGCAAACUCUCAGAUUUGAUUGGCAGCACCCAAUACAUUUUGGCAAUAUUCCUUGCUGGCUGUUGGAGAAUGCCCUUUUAUUUUCCACCUACCCCAGGCUAGUAAAGAAGUGGGAUAGAUACAUGAAUGUGCAAUAGCAGGAGUCAACACUGUGCCUACAGGUGUACAUGUGCCAACAGAGGCCUUCCCCCUCCCCGGCUAAAAUUAGGCUUGCUUUAAGAAAGCAUAGUUUUAUGAUGUUAAGUGGGUGUCGGUCUGGAUGAAACCCUGGGUCCCCUUUCCAAACCUUUGAACUUUUAUCUGUGAGGUUAGAAUGUGUUAAGAGGGAACUUAAUGAACAGGUCAAACCUGUCCCUUUGUCAGGGUAAUGACCUUGGCUGCUCAGCCAAGUACCCAACAUAUGCAUCUAAAGAGAGUGAGCAAAUGGGUGGGCCUUUCUCCCACCCCCCUCACCUGGCUGGUAGAUAGAAGAACAAUAGCCUGAGUUCUUAAGGGGAGGUGGGAGCCGAGAAAUGCUGGAAGCUGAUGACAGAGGCAUGCCUUGCUCUGUGCUGAGCGGAAGCUGGAUUUGGGGUCUUAUUUGGAAAUCUAAUGGAGAAACGAUAUCUGUUGGGGUGUUUACAGUGUAAAGCCCUCCAUCCUAUGCUCAGGCUGCAUAUAUAUGUAAAUAAAACAAUAUAUCCUAAAUACACCACAGUCUCCACUGACCUUCAGUCCAAGGAAAACAAAAAGCACCUGGAAGCCCUGGAGUCUCUUACCACUUGGAGAUAGGGGUGGCAAAUAACAAUGGUGGUGGAGAACAAUACUGUGGGAUAACACAACUUGCAUGUUCCUCAUUGUACUGUGUGUGGGGUGCCUAGAGAAGUUUGUGCAGU